rnacentral:rRNA from 1 species
AUGCCGUGUAUCAGCCUCGCUCGACCAUCUCCUUCCUUGCGCCGCAUACCACCCCGCAGCGCCUGCUCCGCUUCCCCAAUCUCUCCUCUGGCAUCGCCACCGGCAAAAGCGACCUUGAGCGGAGGGCCACUACCCCAAUUUCGAUCUCGAGUAGAGACGCCCCUCCUGGUGGAAUCCACGUGGUGGUCGGCAAGGAUAGCGGCGGCGGCAACUACUCUCUCACGCCGCGCUCUAGCUGCAUCCUCUCUCAGCGACGUCGUCAACCCCCUUGAUCCCUUGUCACCAUUCGCGCCUCGGAGAUGA